UACGAAGGGGGCUAGCGUUGCUCGGAAUCACUGGGCGUAAAGGGUGCGUAGGCGGGUCUUUAAGUCAGGGGUGAAAUCCUGGAGCUCAACUCCAGAACUGCCUUUGAUACUGAAGAUCUUGAGUUCGGGAGAGGUGAGUGGAACUGCGAGUGUAGAGGUGAAAUUCGUAGAUAUUAGGAGGAACACCAGAAGCGAAAGCGGUUAUCUGGCUGGCAACUGACGCUGUUGCACGAAAGCGUGGGGAGCAAACAGG
rnacentral:rRNA from 1 species